AACGAACGCUGGCGGCGUGGAUAAGACAUGCAAGUCGAACGGAGUAUUCUGGUAGCAAUAUCAGGAUGCUUAGUGGCAAACGGGUGCGUAACACGUGGAUUACAUUCCAGAAAGCGCGGGAUAGCCCAGGGAAACUUGGAUUAAUACCGCAUGUGGUCGCAAGACUAAAGGCGCAAGCCGCUUUCUGAUUGGUCCGCGGCCUAUCAGCUAGUUGGUGAGGAAAAGCUCACCAAGGCUACGACGGGUAGCUGGUCUGAGAGGACGACCAGCCACACUGGAACUGAGACACGGUCCAGACACCUACGGGUGGCAGCAGUCGAGAAUCUUUCACAAUGGGGGC
rnacentral:rRNA from 1 species